rnacentral:lncRNA from 1 species
UUCUUUACUAGUUACAACAGACGUUAAUUCUACACCGGGCACAUCAGUGGUUGCAGAAAUCUGGUUUGAAGUUCCAACCACUGGAUUCUGGAUGUUUAAUUCACCAAUGCUGCUUUCCGCUACUUCAUUUUGCUCAUCCAUGGCUGCAAAAAUCUGGUUUGAAGUUCUAACCACUGGAUUUUGGAGGUUUAACUCACCAAUGCUGCUUUCCGCUACUUCAUUUUGCUCGUCCAUGGCUGCAGAUAUCUGGUUUGAAGUUCCAACCACUGGAUUUUGGAGGUCUAACUCACCAAUGCUGCUUUCCGCUACUUCGUUUUGCUCAUCCGUGGCUGCAGAUAUCUGGUUUGAAGUUCCAACCACUGGAUUUUGGAGGUUUAACUCACCAAUGCUGCUUUCAGCUACUUCAUUUUGCUCAUCCAUGGCUGCAGAAAUCCAGUUUGAAGUUUCAACCACUGGAUUUUGGAGGUUCAACUCACCAAUGCUGCUUUCAACUACAUUUUGUUCACCAUGGCAUGACUCAGAAGGCAUCUCUGAGUUGUAUGUAGUAUCAUAUGUAGGUUGGACAGAUUCCACAUCACUGACCACAUCUCUCGUCUCAACAACAGUGGUGGUUUUCACAUUGAGAACAUCUAACGCAUCCAAACUUCGAUUCUCAGUUUCAACCACUGGAUUUUGGAGGUUUAACUCACUAGCGAUGUUUUCAGCAGUAAGAUUAUUUGCUUCAGUUACUUCAUUAUGUUCACCAUGGCAUGUUCCAGAAGGUGGCUCUGGGUUGCAUAUGAUAACAGAUGUAGGCUGAACAUACACCACAUUAAGUAACUCAUCUCUUACCUCAAUGGCAGGAGCUGAUUCCACACUGGGAACAUCUAUAACUUCAGUACUUUCGUUCUUGGUCUCAACCAGAUUUUGAAGGUUCAGCUCAGCAACGCUGCUUUCAGCAGUAAUAUUCUUUACUUCAGUUAGUUCAUUAUGUUUACCGUUGCAUGUUUCAGAAGAUAGUUCUGGAUUGCAUAUGGUGUCAUAUGUAGGUUGAACAUAUUUCACAUUGCCCACCUCAUCUCUUACCUCAACAACAAAAGUUGCUUCCACAUUUGGCACGUCUAGAGCUUGCACAAUUGGGUUCUCACUUUCAAUCUCUGAAAUUUGGAAGUUCAAUUCACCAAUGCUACUUUCAGCAGUAGUAUUCUUUGCUUCAGUUGUUUCCUUCUGUUCACCAUGGCAUCUCUCAGAAUGCAGAUUCUGAUUACAUGCAGUAUCACAUGAAACUUGAACAUGUUCCAUAUCACUGACCUCAUCUCUUACCUCAACAGCAGAAAUGGAUUCCACAUUGGGCACAUCUAAGGCUUCCAAACUUCGGUUCUCAGUUUCAACUGCUGGAUUUUGGAGGUUCAACUCACCAAUGGUGCUUUCAGCAGUAAUAUUCUUUGCUUCAAUUACUUCAUGAUGUUCACCAUGGCAUGUUUCAGAAGAUGGCUCUGGAUUGCAUACAAUAUCACAUGUAGCUUGAAUGCAUUCCAGAUUACUGACUUCAUCCCGUGCCUCCAUAACAGAAGCCGAUUCCAUACUGGGCAUCUCUAUAUCUUCGGCAUUUUGGUUCUCAGUUACUUCAGUAUGUUCAUCAUUGCAUGUUUCAGAAGAUGGCUCUGGAUUGCAUACAAUAUCACAUGUAGCUUGAAUGCAUUCCAGAUUACUGACUUCAUCUCUUACCUCCAUAACAGAAGUCGAUUCCAUACUAGGCUUUUCUAUAGCUUCAGCAUUUUGGCUCUCAGUUUCAACCACUAUAUUUUGGAGGUUCAAUUUACCAAUGCUGCUUUCAGUAGUAAUAUUCAUUGCUUCAGUUACUUCACUAUGUUCACCACAGCAUGUUUCAAAAGGUGGCUCUGAGUUGUAUCGAGCAUCACAUGUAGGUUGAACAUAUUCCACAGUACCUAAUUCAUCUCUUACCUCAACAACAGAAGUCGAUUCCACAAUGGGCAUGUGUGUAGCUUCACUUUGGUUCUCAGUUUCAACUACUGGAUUUUGGUUGUUCAACUGACCAAAACUGCUUUCAGAGGUAAUGUUCUUUGAUUCAGUUACUUCAUCAUGUUCACUAUAGCAUGUUUCAGAUAGCGGCUCUGAGUUACAUACAGAAUCACAUGUAGGUUGAACAUAUUCCACAUUGCUUACCUCAGCUCUUACCUCGACAACAGUAACUGAUCCCACAUUGGGCACAUAUAUAGGUUCAGCAAUUCGGUUCUCACUUUCAAUCACUGGAUUUUCGAGGUUCAAUGCAUCAAUACUACUUUCACCAGCA